GGCCCGUUGGUCAAGUGGUUAAGACACCGCCCUUUCACGGCGGUAACACGGGUUCGAAUCCCGUACGGGUCACCN
rnacentral:tRNA from 1 species